rnacentral:misc_RNA from 1 species
GGAGAUUCUGUCACUUAAUUUUUUUAUGUUUUUUUAUGUUUGAACUUGAGCAUUUUGUUGCAUUUGUUAUUUAGCGGGGAAUAGCUACAUGAAACAUUAAGGAAAAGAACGGGAUCAACAUGGAAACUACAACUGCACUUACAUUUUAAGUAGGCAUUCUAUUGUAAUUUUGAGCUGGAAACUUGUUUCAUUAUCUUCUUUUCAUUUUUCUUCUUGGUAUUUGGUUAGGUUCCUUCUCCAGGCUCUCUCUUUUCCCUUUCCUUCCUUUUCUCCCAUCCCUUUUAAGGUCUGGGACGUGGGAUAAGCAUGAGCUAGCAUUAGUGGUUGUGGAUUUCUACAUGAUUUUUUUAGUACCAUUGAUGUUGCAACACAAGUAAUGUAAUUGCUUUGCUGUUGUUUGCUAGGACCUUAAUUUUACUAAUUUGCACAUUUUAUGGAUCUAGUGGCCCUCCUCUCAGUUGUUGCGUUUUUUUCUUUGGGUAAAAUAUGGUCCUUUCACAUUCUGUGGACGCAGGGGUGCAGUAAUUACAGAGAUUGUUGUGUUUAUAUUCAUGAAAAUGUUUGUGGUCUUUACUGCUGUUUUUUCAUUAUUAAAUUUGAUUUGUUAUGCAGGAUUUUGUUUUAGCUUGUUCAUUUUAAUUUUAUGCAUCUUUUUCUUUUCAAAAAUUUAUUUAUUUAGGUCUCAUUAGCGUCUGUGCUUGUCUGUUCAGGUACUUCUAUGCCUACGGAAG